rnacentral:tRNA from 1 species
CAGUUUAUAUUUUAAUUUAAAAUAUAAUGUUUGGGACAUUAAGAUUUAUUAACUGA